rnacentral:tRNA from 1 species
GCAGUGGUGGCGCAGUGGUAACGCGUGAGAUGUGAGCAUCCCUGAUAACUCUCAUGCAAGUCCCAAAACUAAUAAUUUCCACAGUGCAAUUCAAGCAAUACAUCUCAACAUCCCGUUCGAACCACGGUCGCUGCU